GACGAACGCUGGCGGCGUGCCUAAUACAUGCAAGUAGAACGCUGAAGGAGGAGCUUGCUUCUCUGGAUGAGUUGCGAACGGGUGAGUAACGCGUAGGUAACCUGCCUGGUAGCGGGGGAUAACUAUUGGAAACGAUAGCUAAUACCGCAUAAUAGUAGAUGUUGCAUGACAUUUACUUAAAAGGUGCAAUUGCCUCACUACCAGAUGGACCUGCGUUGUAUUAGCUAGUUGGUGGGGUAACGGCUCACCAAGGCGACGAUACAUAGCCGACCUGAGAGGGUGAUCGGCCACACUGGGACUGAGACACGGCCCAGACUCCUACGGGAGGCAGCAGUAGGGAAUCUUCGGCAAUGGACGAAAGUCUGACCGGGCAACGCCGCGUGAGUGAAGAAGGGUUUCGGAUCGUAAAGCUCUGUUGUAAGAGAAGAACGAGUGUGAGAGUGGAAAGUUCACACUGUGACGGUAUCUUACCAGAAAGGGACGGCUAACUACGUG
rnacentral:rRNA from 1 species